GACGAACGCUGGCGGCGUGCUUAACACAUGCAAGUCGAGCGGAGCGGCGAACGGGUGAGUAACGCGUGAGUAACUGCCCCCCUCUCUGGGAUAACAGUUGGAAACGGCUGCUAAUACCGGAUAGUGGGGGAUGACUCGGGGCCUAUCAGCUUGUUGGGGGGGUAGGGGCCUACCAAGGCGACGACGGGUAGCCGGCCUGGGAGGGCGACCGGCCACCUGGGGCUGAGAUACGGACCAAACGGCUAUGGGGGGCAGUAGUGGGGAAUAUUGCACAAUGGGGGAAACCGUGAUGAGGCAACGCCGCGGGCGGGAUGAAGGCCCUCGGGUGGGAAACCGCUUGCAGUCAUGACGCGGUAGUGGCAGAAGAAGCACCGGCUAACUACGUGCCAGCAGCCGCGGUAAUAC
rnacentral:rRNA from 1 species